rnacentral:rRNA from 1 species
AGUGGCGGACGGGUGAGUAAUGCUUGGGAACUUGCCUUUGCGAGGGGGAUAACAGUUGGAAACGACUGCUAAUACCGCAUAAUGUCUUCGGACCAAACGGGGCUUCGGCUCCGGCGCAAAGAGAGGCCCAAGUGAGAUUAGCUAGUUGGUGAGGUAAAGGCUCACCAAGGCAACGAUCUCUAGCUGUUCUGAGAGGAAGAUCAGCCACACUGGGACUGAGACACGGCCCAGACUCCUACGGGAGGCAGCAGUGGGGAAUAUUGCACAAUGGGGGAAACCCUGAUGCAGCCAUGCCGCGUGUGUGAAGAAGGCCUUCGGGUUGUAAAGCACUUUCAGUUGUGAGGAAAAGUUAGUAGUUAAUACCUGCUAGCCGUGACGUUAACAACAGAAGAAGCACCGGCUAACUCCGUGCCAGCAGCCGCGGUAAUACGGAGGGUGCGAGCGUUAAUCGGAAUUACUGGGCGUAAAGCGCACGCAGGCGGUUUGUUAAGCUAGAUGUGAAAGCCCCGGGCUCAACCUGGGACGGUCAUUUAGAACUGGCAGACUAGAGUCUUGGAGAGGGGAGUGGAAUUCCAUGUGUAGCGGUGAAAUGCGUAGAUAUCUGGAGGACAUCAGUGGGCGAAGCGACUCCCUGGCCAAAGACUGACGCUCAUGUGCGAAAGUGUGGGUAGCGACCAGCAUAGAUACCCUGCUAGUCCACACCGA